AAAAACAGGUGAAAGGCAGUAAGAUGAAAAUUUUACCGUCCCCAGACGCGGUGCUCGUGGGAGUAACUUCUAAGCCUCCAAGGUUGCCGCCGACUCCGGUUUUCUCAAAUCUGAGACGAGAGAAGAAUAUUUUGAAUUGCAGCAUGUAUUUGAAUUGUCGGCACCGUUAAUUGAUCGUUCAUAGUCGGGCGGCCCAAGUUUGUUCUGAUAUGGGAUCCCAAUCUGAGUAACACUUGGAAGUCGAAAAUCAUCGAAACCCAAUUCAUUGCGGCAGUUUGUAGGUGUUUCCUUCAGUAUGGCUUUUGCUUCUGAGCAAUCUCAUGGUGCUGAUUAAUGGAGUCAUUGCCCGUGGCCGGAGAGGAAGAAGGGUACCCAAUCUCCUCAGCAGUAUUGUAUGAUAGACUUAUGGGCAUACUAGGGUGAAUACGCCGGAAGUUGCUGCGCCGAGAUCACAUGAUUCAACAUAGGCAUGAGGCUCCUAUUGUAUGUGUCAUAACACGCUAAAUGAUUAGCAACAACAGUAUCGAGUCCUUUAAUUUGUUUUUGUACUAAGCCAGAUGCUCUUUUAAAGUUUGUGACAUGUAUUUGAUUAGCUUAAUCUCACUUAGUGUGCAUUGUUUUCCCUUUCUACUAUGAUUUCCUGAAUACCA